rnacentral:lncRNA from 1 species
UGGACCUAACCUGCCUGGAGGUCGUCUCAUCAUUCAAAUGUUUCGUUGUUUACCUGAGAGCAUUGAGAAGACCUUCUACACUGUUAGGAGGUUAGUCCUUAAAAACUUUGAUACAACCUUUCAUAUCAAUUUUGGAAGUUUUGGCAAAUGCUCCCACUGGAUGGGCGUGGUCAUAGAGUUUUAUGAUACCCACCAUUACCCUCAAGCAGAACGAUACUGUCUCUUCAUUGGUAAAUCUGCUCCUGUAUUCCAACAUCUCCAGCAUGACUCUGCAUACACUUGCCAUGGUGCUUAAACAGUCUGUGGUGUUUUCUAUUGGUAAAUUCUUAUUCUCUGAUACAAAUUUUGUUGUUGCAUCACUUAAGGUUUUCAGCAUGGGGGUGGCCUCAGCAUAAAACAAAGACAUUCGAUUUGCCAACUCAUUAUUUACUUCAUUUUCUCCUUCUGCCGGUACGUUGUUAAUUCUCAUCCGACUCAACGUCCUUCUGUAGUAGCUGAAGUCAUUCUUUAUUGGCAGGGUUUGUCAUCUUGAGUUCAUCAAAGCGGAGUGUGAAGUGAAGAAUCUCUGCAAACUGUUUAGCAAGAGCCUGCUCUCGCCCUAGAUACUGGGUGGGGGAGUACGGUGUGCUAGUCAAGGCUCCCAGAAGGCCUCUCAAUGCUGCUUCUAGCCUCUGAGAAAAUUCGUAAAACUUCUUUAAUUUGCCUACUAGUGGCACAGCCGCACCCCAUGCCUUCUCUUGCAGCUUCUCAUCCGCUGGAUGCUGGAUUGCCUCUUGUAUUUCGUGGCCAGCUCCUCUGUAUGACUGCGAGUCCUCCAAGAUGCCUUCUGCAUCUUUUAAUAUUACAUUCACCUGAUUAUAUAUUUCCUUCUCAGACUUUGUAGGCUGGGCAUUUUCAAAAAUCAAGGAAAAAAUUUGGCCCCUGCUCAAGGUCUGUGCAUGUCAAAACUUUAAGAAGAUUCCCCAUGUUAAGGUACCUUCAGCCAGUGCUGGUGAUUCUGUCCUUGUCCUUCUAUCCGCCGCGAGCUCGGGCGCUCGCUCGC